rnacentral:lncRNA from 1 species
UUAUACUGUUGCUGGUUGGAGCAGGUUGAAGGCAGAAGAUGCAUGCAAAAUUAGCCCAGAGGACAGUGCAAGGUUGAGAGCCCAACUCUUCUUGACAAGAGAGACAAAGUGAGUCAGAAGCACAGGUUACUGAGACCUUGAGACAACAUGAUUCAGAUGACAGGCUACUGAAGUUUGGAUUCAUGGACUUAGAGCUGGUAAUGCCUGUUCCUGAAGGGUUGUGGUUCGGCUUGGGGCAUUGA